AUUGAACGCUGGCGGCAGGCCUAACACAUGCAAGUCGAGCGGAGCGGCGGACGGGUGAGUAAUGCCUAGGAAUUUGCCUGGUAGUGAGGGACCACGUCCGGAAACGGGCGUUAAUAUCGCAUACUAUCAGAUGAGCCUAGGUCGGAUUAGCUAGUUGGUGGGGUAAAGGCUUACCAAGGCGACGAUCCGUAACUGCGCUGAGAGGAUGAUCAGUCACACUGGAACUGAGACACGGGCCAGACGCCUACGGGAGGCAGCAGUGGGGAAUAUUGGGCAAUGGGCGAAAGCCUGAUCCAGCGAAGCCGCGUGAGUGAAGAAGGUCUUCGGAUUGUAAAGCACUUUAAGUUGGGAGGCGUUACCAACAGAAUAAGCACCGGCUAACUUCGUGCCAGCAGCCGCGGUAAUAC
rnacentral:rRNA from 1 species